GUGCGUCCAACCGCCUCCUGCUGGCAAGUCGAGAUUCCGGGAGAUCCUACGUAGAAAUUAGGCGUCAGCGGCAGUCAUGGCAACGAGUCUCAAGGUCUCCCUGUGCGUCCUCCUGGCGACGGCGGUGCUGGUGGUGAGCCCGGUGGUCGAGGCUGGGUUGCAGCCCGGUUCCCAGGGGCUGGUGGCCAGCGGUCCUAUGGAUCUUGACACGGGCGGGAGGCCCAACAUCGCCGACGGGCCUUGCCUGUGUCCCUCCUCGCAGUUCGUGGCGUCAAAGAAGCCAUGCACUUGUCUGCCGAAGUGGACGACGCCGGAAAUCUAAGAGGCGCUGUCGCUCGAGCCAGGAAUUCUGUGGGCCCUAAGCCAGUCCUUCCCGGGGAUUGAAACAAGGGCAGAGCUGUGAAGGACGACUGCUCCGUGCUCUGUGGAUACUGAAUGGAUUCUUUCAUGGCUUUAUUUAACUUGAAUAUUAUUUUAUGUAUACCUACCUAUUUUAUAUCUACCUACUUAUUUUAUGUCUACCUACUGUAACUCGUAUAUUUAGAAACUCGUGUAUUUAUUCGUUUACUCGAUUUACUGGAUUUCAACUGUAGAUGUUAUCCAUUAACAUUUUUACGUAAAAAUAUAUCGAUUAUAAAGAUAUAUCUUGAAAUUUUGGUACUGCAUGUUCGGAAUAAAUCAGUUUUGUGUCUGGAUUUCACCAUAAUCUAUUUAUAUCCAGAAUGUGCAUGUGAAUACGGACAUACUAUUUAUGUAUUUUUCUUGAAAAAAGAACCUUAUUAUUUAACUAAUACAGAUCGAAAAGAAAAGAGAAAAAUAAUAAAAACAAUUAUACAUGAAGUAGAUCAUAUUUUCGCACUUGCGCGGCGCUUGUCGUGUGUCAGUUGUUUAACUGUGAGUUUACUUGUUUAAUUGUUUUUAAACAUAGAUGGCUACACUUGUACUAAAUCACCAAUGAGCCAAUUACGAGUAAUUAUAAUGUUUAUAAUAAAAAUAACACCAUCGAUAUACAUAGCACUAGUAAAAAUUACAUUUCCCCGCCAAUUCAAGGAAAGGUGAAAUCAGGCAAGGCAGAGACAUCUAUGUGUAGACACAUUUUACAAAAAAUAUAAACAUUUGAGCACAGCAUU